rnacentral:rRNA from 1 species
GAUGAACGCUAGCUACAGGCUUAACACAUGCAAGUCGAGGGGUAACGAGAGGAUAGCUUGCUUUCCUUGUCGACGACCGGCGCACGGGUGAGUAACGCGUAUCCAACCUGCCCCCAACUAGGGAAUAACCUUGCGAAAGUAAGGCUAAUACCCUAUAAUCUCCUCAGAUGACAUCUGACGAGGAAUAAAGAUUUAUCGGUUGUGGAUGGGGAUGCGUCUGAUUAGCUUGUUGGCGGGGUAACGGCCCACCAAGGCAACGAUCAGUAGGGGUUCUGAGAGGAAGGUCCCCCACAUUGGAACUGAGACACGGUCCAAACUCCUACGGGAGGCAGCAGUGAGGAAUAUUGGUCAAUGGGCGGAAGCCUGAACCAGCCAAGUAGCGUGCAGGAUGACGGCCCUAUGGGUUGUAAGCUGCUUUUAUACAGGAAUAAAGUUAGCCACGUGUGGUUAUUUGUAGGUACUGUAUGAAUAAGGACCGGCUAAUUCCGUGCCAGCCGCCGCCGUAA